GUCCAUGGAGCUUGCUCCGGAAGACCUAGUGGCGAACGGGUGCGUAACACGUGAGAAACCUGCCCCGAUCUCUGGGAUAACAGUUGGAAACGACUGCUAAUACCGGAUGCCGUCACACCGCUUCAUGGCGGAGUGCCGAAAGAUUUAUCGGAUCGGGAGGGUCUCGCGGCCUAUCAGCUAGUUGGAGAGGUAACGGCUCACCAAGGCAUCGACGGGUAGCUGGUCUGAGAGGAUGAUCAGCCACACUGGGACUGAGACACGGCCCAGACUCCUACGGGAGGCAGCAGUGGGGAAUCUUGCACAAUGGGCGAAAGCCUGAUGCAGCAACGCCGCGUGCGGGAAGAAGGCCCUAGGGUUGUAAACCGCUUUCAGUAGGGAAGAAAAUGACGGUACCUACAGAAGAAGGUGCGGCCAACUACGUGCCAGCAGCCGCGGUGACACGUAGGCACCAAGCGUUAUCCGGAUUUAUUGGGCGUAAAGAGCUCGUAGGCGGUUUGGUAAGUCGGGUGUGAAAACUCUGGGCUCAACCCAGAGACGCCACCCGAUACUGCUAUGACUAGAGUACGGUAGGGGAGCGGGGAAUUCAUGGUGUAGCGGUGAAAUGCGCAGAUAUCAUGAGGAACACCAGCGGCGAAGGCGCCGCUCUGGGCCGUAACUGACGCUGAGGAGCGAAAGCAUGGGUAGCAAACAGGAUUAGAUACCCUGGUAGUCCAUGCCGUAAACGUUGGGCACUAGGUGUGGGUCUCAACCAACGAGAUCCGCGCCGUCGCUA
rnacentral:rRNA from 1 species